UCAGGAUGAACGCUGGCGGCGUGCCUAACACAUGCAAGUCGAGCGAUUACUUCGGUAAAGAGCGGCGGACGGGUGAGUAACGCGUGGGUAACCUGCCUCAUACACAUGGAUAACAUACCGAAAGGUAUGCUAAUACAGGAUAAUAUAAGAGAUUCACAUGGAUUUCUUAUCAAAGCUCCGGCGGUAUGAGAUGGACCCGCGUCUGAUUAGCUAGUUGGUAAGGUAAUGGCUUACCAAGGCGACGAUCAGUAGCCGACCUGAGAGGGUGAUCGGCCACAUUGGAACUGAGACACGGUCCAAACUCCUACGGGAGGCAGCAGUGGGGAAUAUUGCACAAUGGGCGAAAGCCUGAUGCAGCAACGCCGCGUGAGUGAUGAAGGCCUUCGGGUCGUAAAACUCUGUCCUCAAGGAAGAUAAUGACGGUACUUGAGGAGGAAGCCCCGGCUAACUACGUGCCAGCCGCCGC
rnacentral:rRNA from 1 species